UACAGAGGUCUCAAGCGUUGUUCGGAUUCAUUGGGCGUAAAGGGUGCGUAGGCGGCGCGGUAAGUCGGGUGUGAAAUUUCGGAGCUUAACUCCGAAACUGCAUUCGAUACUGCGGUGCUUGAGGACUGGAGAGGAGACUGGAAUUCAUGGUGUAGCAGUGAAAUGCGUAGAGAUCAUGAGGAACACCGGUGGCGAAGGCGGGUCUCUGGGCAACAACUGACGCUGAGGAGCGAAAGCGUGGGGAGCGAACAGG
rnacentral:rRNA from 1 species